AGGGGUUAUUGGAUUAAUCUGCAUCGUUUUAGAGUACAUUGGUUGUCAUGGGAUCCAAAUAUUUUCUGACACUUAUGAUUUUUAGAUUAUGAAUAAUAUAAUGCAGUAUUUUAUCACAUAUACAACAGUUGGGGUCAAAACCGGUCACGACGGAAUCAACGCAUGAAAGUAUCCGGAGAAUACUUCUCGAAAAAGUAACUUUCGUAUAAUUUUCAACAA
rnacentral:lncRNA from 1 species